AUAUAGAUAUAUAAAGUAAAGACAAUGUUUUUUCAAUAAUAAUAAAAAAAGAUAAACAAAUAUACAAUUCAUCAUUCGUCACACAAAUAAAGUCCUGGAAACACCAUUUUGUCUUGUACAUUGUAAGAGCUGUCAAAAUGGACGGGCGGCCCGUGUCCAAUGCUUAAUGGACUGGUCAUGGACAAACCCAUUAUGAAGCGGGCAUUAAUGGUCAUGGUCAUUAACGGACAUGGGCUUUAGCGGACUGGACGUGAUGGACAUGAACGAUCCAAUAGUCAUAAAAUAUUAGGUUAAGUGAUUUGUAGCAAAACAGAAAAACACUAAUCAUCGAAAAACAUUUCAAAGUGUUAGAUUUUUGACUUUUGGAUUGAUUGAUACUUAAAUCAUUUAAUACUUUGUUGUUUAAAUUUGCUUUUAGAUUGAUAAUUUCAAAGUGUUAGACUUUUGACUUUUGUAUUGAUUAAAAUAUGAAGCAAAUACUAUUGUGUUAAAAUUUGAUUCUGUUAUGUCAUGUCCACUGAACAACCCAUUUGGACAUGAGCGUUAAUGGACAUGGGUCUUAGUGGACAUGACCUUCAUUUGUCCAAUAUCAAAAUAGACAUUAAUGGAUUGGGCUUAUGGGCAUGGACAACCCGCUUUGACAGCUCUAUACAUUGUCAUUACCUCUCUAGAAGAUAUAUAUCUUGUCUUCCAAAU
rnacentral:sRNA from 1 species